rnacentral:rRNA from 1 species
CCCGGGCCUUGUACACACCGCCCGUCACACCACGAGAGUUGGUAACACCCGAAGUCGGUGAGGUGACCUUAAAAGAUGCCGAAGGUAUGGCUGGUGAUUGGGAUG